GACGAACCGUACGAACGUUAUUCGGAAUCACUGGGCUUAAAGGGUGCGUAGGCGGCGCGACAAGUUGGGUGUGAAAUCCCUCGGCUCAACCGAGGAACUGCGCCCAAAACUGUCGUGCUCGAGGGAGACAGAGGUGAGCGGAACUUAGGGUGGAGCGGUGAAAAUGCGUUGAUAUCCUAAGGAACACCGGUGGCGAAAGCGGCUCACUGGGUCUCUUCUGACGCUGAGGCACGAAAGCUAGGGUAGCGAACGGG
rnacentral:rRNA from 1 species